rnacentral:rRNA from 1 species
UACAGAGGUCUCAAGCGUUUGUUCGGAUUCAUUGGGCGUAAAGGGUGCGUAGGCGGCGCGGUAAGUCGGGUGUGAAAUCUCGGAGCUUAACUCCGAAACUGCAUUCGAUACUGCCGUGCUUGAGGACUGGAGAGGAGACUGGAAUUUACGGUGUAGCGGUGAAAUGCGUAGAUAUCGUAAGGAAGACCAGUGGCGAAGGCGGGGUCUCUGGACAGUUCCUGACGCUGAGGCACGAAGGUCAGGGGGAGCAAAACGGGG